AACACACGGAAAAAUAAAUAUUAAAAUUCAGCUAAAAGGAACUGCUCCAAAUUGAUCUACAGUUGUCAUUGUCGUCGUAAUCUUUGAACUCUCUCUAAGGGGGGGGGUGCUCCAAACAAAUCUCGUCUUGCAUUGUCAGCAGUAUUAUGAGUGGGCGGGGUAGAGGAACGUCCGUCAAAAAUGAAGUGCUACCAAAGUCAUCCGUAGGAAAUGGACUGCCAGUCUGUGAGCCACUCUUAAUGACCUCAUCUGAAGAAAGGUCAACUGAUAUAAAGACCAGGUCCUAAAUGAACAGUUUGUGUACAGUCAAAAUAUUGCUCCCCUAAUGUGUAUGUUAUAAGAGAUUCCACUGUACUGACCUUGAGGUCACGAUGUAUGGGGGGUUUUGUCCGAUGGUGUAGCCUAGCAACGACAGAGAAUGUUGUCUCAGUCGAGUGAUCGCUGAGUCAGUAACUCCAUCACCACGCUACCUAAUUAAACAGGAACAAAUAAUAUUGAAAGUGAAAUGCUUUGAGGGAGUACAAUGAUCUAUUGAUGACACAAUGUGGGCACUCCAGCAGUGAUAUCCACCAUCAAGGAAAAUGGCUGACAAUACUUAUAUAGGACAGCUAGUACAUUGUGCAAAAGAGCCGACUUGGCGUUUAUUAAUUUGGCAACAGCUUGUAUCCUAAACAGGUUAUGAGAAGUCUUACCCAGGCAAGGCUAUAUGCAAGGCCAGGUCUAAUCCCCCAGUCAGUGUGAGGACAACACUUCAAGAGUCAAAUUAGAGUCAAAUUCCCCGUACCUCCCGUGGGGGGGGGGCAACACAUUGAGAGGCAUUAUCACCUGAUCAUGAUUAUACAGUAUAGGUAGUUGUCACCUGAGCUGAAACGGUACUUGCUGACACAGCAGAUCGACACUGCCAGUGACACCAGAGUCACGUUGAGGUGUCCUGUACCUGGGGGAUAGCAAACACAGAGGUCAAAGUGCACAGAAUUGCAGGAAAGUUUGUAGCCAUUUCAGCUUGUUGAGAUUCAGUAGCAGUAAGCUGUGCAAAUUAAUGAUAGGCUUUCCAAUAACUAAAGGAUUGCAUGGACAAUCUCAACUAUAUAUAAAAGUCCUACUGAAAAUUAAUAAGCCAUCAAUAAUUAUUGUCUAGUAAUAUUAAAGGUAGCGCUCACCUUUCCCCUGAGUCAGAGUGUUGGUCCAUUGUGUCCAGUGCACCGUGCUAGCUAGUAGGACCACUCCAAUGGAUGUGCUCUCAGAGCAUUAGAACUGAUGAAGCACAUGGCCAGUGGGUAAAGAUCGUCAAACCAUUAGACAAAAUAAUAUGUUUCAUUUUGUAGAUUUGAUAUCCUUUGGACCUUUACCAGACACGCUCACACACAAGAUGGAGACAGCUGGUGAGGAAAAGCAUUCACUUGUCCUUCGCUCUAGGAGCUUCCACAAGGCUGGAUAUCUGGUGGAUACUCACCCAAAAGACCAGUAGCAAUGGAUCACAAGGCAAACAGCAUUGCAGCGAGUACAAUGCUAGUGAUGGAGAGCACGAGAGGGGCGGAGUCAGUGACACAUUUCUAUGACAACAUAUGAUGGAGGAGUUACAAGGUGACACUGUGGAGUUUGCGUACAACCCAUUGGACGUCUUGCACUGCAGAUAAAGGAACACAAUUAAGAAAUAAUUUGUGAGGGUCAGUUGUUCACUCUGUUGGAUGCUAAUGAUGAUCGACCCAUUGGGCGUCAAUACAAUCGACCUAAGGAACAGACUGAACACCAGCCCCCAGCAUGUAUCAUGAGGGACGCUGUACAGAGAUGUUAGGGCAAGUUCCUUUAAUUAGAUCCAGAUAUUGUAAUUAUUUCCUUCUUCCAGGUUGUUGGUCGCUAAAUGUGCUUAUAGUUGCCAUGGAGAUGGAGAUGGUAAUUGACUGAAGUCAUGUACCUACCUCUCGAUAGAAGGAAACAAGGAUUUGUCAAUAAUUAUAGUACUGUGAUAAAUAAAUGUUUUGUCAACUUCGAUUCUCUAAGAUCAUAAUUAUUCAUAACUAUAAUUAUACUAUUGUUCUUGUUCUUACAAAACUUUAAAUUAUGUUACGUUGUUUCAUAUUAA